GCUAGGCAUGGUGGCGCAUGCCUGUAAUCCCAGCUACUUGGGAGGCUGAGGCAGGAGAAUCGCUUGAACCCAGGAGGCGGAGGUUGCAGUGAGCGGAGACCCCGUCACUGCACUCCAGCCUGGGUGACAGAGCGAGAUUCCAUCUCAA
rnacentral:SRP_RNA from 1 species